CCUACGGGCGGCAGCAGUAGGGAAUCUUCCACAAUGGACGAAAGUCUGAUGGAGCAACGCCGCGUGAGCGAUGAAGGCCUUCGGGUCGUAAAGCUCUGUUGUUAGGGAAGAACAAGUGCCGGAGUAACUGUCGGCACCUUGACGGUACCUAACCAGAAAGCCACGGCUAACUACGUGCCAGCAGCCGCGGUAAUACGUAGGUGGCAAGCGUUGUCCGGAAUUAUUGGGCGUAAAGCGCGCGCAGGCGGUUUCUUAAGUCUGAUGUGAAAGCCCACGGCUCAACCGUGGAGGGUCAUUGGAAACUGGGAAACUUGAGUGCAGAAGAGGAAAGUGGAAUUCCAAGUGUAGCGGUGAAAUGCGUAGAGAUUUGGAGGAACACCAGUGGCGAAGGCGACUUUCUGGUCUGUAACUGACGCUGAGGCGCGAAAGCGUGGGGAGCAAACAGGAUUAGAUACCCUGGUAGUCC
rnacentral:rRNA from 1 species